UACAGAGGGUGCAAGCGUUAAUCGGAUUUACUGGGCGUAAAGCGUGCGUAGGCGGUUCAUUAAGUCGGUUGUGAAAUCCCUGGGCUUAACCUGGGAACUGCAGUCGAUACUGGUGGACUAGAGUGCGGUAGAGGGUGGCGGAACUCCGGGUGUAGCGGUGAAAUGCGUAGAGUAUCCGGAAGAACACCGAUGGCGAAGGCAACCACCUGGGCCUGCACUGACGCUGAGGUACGAAAGCGUGGGGAGCAAACAGG
rnacentral:rRNA from 1 species